GAGAAAAGCUCCAAGACUCAAGAUCAAACCCAUGGAGCAUGAAGUGAUUCUGGGAAUUGUAAAUGAACAUCAUCACUGGACAUUAGUGGUCAUUUACCCACAAGAAAAGAAGUCGCUGUAUCUUGAUCCACUCGGAGAAACUAAACAAGGUAUCCAAAAUUGUUUGGAAUCAACAAGGGCAUUCAUGCGAAAAAAAAGGAUGCAACGUCUCAAGAUGGACUUGUGACACAGUCAAACACCCAAAACAAUUGGACGCUACCUCAUGUGGAGUCUUUGCAUUGAAAAUGACUUGACAAACAUCUGUCUUUUCUGCGGCGAAGAAGAGCAUGAAACUGACAACAAAUGGAUUCAGUGUGAGAUGUGUUUGCGGUGGUUCCACCAGCUCUGCGUGAAAAGCCCACCACCAGAAGACGUGUUUAUUUGUUUCGCUUGUACAUAGUUGACACUAAAGGUGCACAGCUAGUGUUCUUAUGGCACACAUUGUUGAGAACACACAUAUCGACAUAUAUAUAUAUGUAGAUGUUAAAU
ensembl:lncRNA